CACACUGUGCCGUGCCUGCAGUUGUUCGCACCUGUUGGUAUAGCCAGCUAACCCUUGUCUAUUUCUACCAUUUAUGAAUCCCUCGGCGGGGACGCUUGCCGCUGGGACCCUUAAACUCUACUGUGUAAAAAGCAUCAAAACUUUCUGAACCUUAUUAAAAUUAUUA
rnacentral:misc_RNA from 1 species